UAAAGGAGAAACUUGAAAGUAAAAGCUACGAAUAUGACUAUGGAGUCUUCAGGCGUCCCCUUCGUCGUCCUCCUGCGGAACCGGCUCGGGAACGAUGUCUUCCUGAUCUGAAAUGAUUAAAUAAGGAAUGAGCUACACUAGCCCAGUAAAGACAUCACGAUAUCUCACCGUCACGGAGGUAAAGGUGGGUAGAAAACACAAAAAGACCAAUGGAGCAUAAUUUACAACAAAUUCUUUUAUCAAUAAUAAAUCCUUCACCAUCCAUUUACCCGAUAGAAUCCAUAAAACAGUGUACGAAAGCAAUAAUAUUAUCAUCAUCAUGAAAUCAUAUAUAAACUGUAUAACAUAAUACUUAUCAAGCCUUUCGUAAUUCAAUUGUUACACAACAUAUUUUCCUCAUUUACCAGCCCACUAGUAUCCAUGGGGAUCCAUAGGGGUCCCGCUACCCGUUAACCCUUAACACUUGAAAUCAUAUUCCAGGGCCGUCCUCAUAUCUCGUCCGGUAUGAGUGCCAAAACUAUAGACCUCAUUACCUCGUCCGGUAUGAGGGUGAAACGGGCCGUCCCCAUACCCCGUCCGGUAUGGGCGCCAAAACACAUAA
rnacentral:lncRNA from 1 species